rnacentral:lncRNA from 1 species
AUAAGAAAAACAACUUAGCCAGGCAAUGACUGCCGUCUCGUGGCAUUUUCCUGAUGUCAUAGUGGCUCCAUAUUGGAGGGGGUGGCAAAUGGCAACAUAGCGGUCAUAGGACAUGACAGUGAGAAAGGCCAGUUCAGCAGAUGCAAAAGCAAAGAAAAAGUAGACUUGAGCCACACAGCCAAGAUAAGAGAUGGAGCUGCUGUGGGUCAGAGAGCUGUGGACUGACUUAGGCACGGUGACUGAGAUGUAGCACAAAUCCAAAAAGGAGAGGUUCCUUAGGAAGAAGUACAUGGGCGUGUGCAGAUACUGAUCAAGAGUAAUGAGCAUGAUGAUGAGAAGGUUCCCCACCAGAGCUGCCAGAUAAAUCAGCAGAAACAGUCCAGCAAGUAGCAUCUGUAGCUCCCAGACAUCAGAAAACCCCAUGAGCAGGAAUUCUGUCACUUCCACGAGAUUGUCCAUUGGAAGGUGAAACUAAGACAAAGCAAGGUCAAGUAGCUUGCCCAAGACCACUCAAAAAGCCAGAUCCUGCGCCAGCACUCAAAUCAAGGUAGUCCAUCUCCGGGAUCAGUGUCGCUAACCUCUGCAUUCUACUAAUCUACUUUAAUGGUCCUGCCAGUUGUGCUUUAGUCAACUCGCAAGUGAAGGAAAAAGAAACAGCUGCAUGGUGCUGUGGAGCUUCAGUCUUACUCACGUAGCUGGGAUCAUCUGGGCAAGUGAAAUGUUGCUGCCAUCCUGCAGUCCAUUCUAUGUCCAAACCUCCAAAUCAAAUUUCUUUGGAGUAUCUUUUAAAAGAGAAAUUGUUUAAG